UGCUGCUGCUACUAACAAUUCUAAUUUGGAUGAUAAAAAUAUCUUAUCCUCUAUGGAAACGGAUGAUUGUGUGGUCAUAGCGAUUUAUUCUAUAAACGAAUUAGCCUUCUGUAGGCCAGGGGAUGAGGCGUGGACUAGCAUUGGAAUAGAGUUUGGAGACAUUAUUUUCUACGAUGGAAGAUUGUAUCCGGUUACUGUACAAGGUGAUCUUAAACUUGUGGAGUUGGGUCCUCAUCCAAAGGUAACAAGCUGUAACAUUGCUCCUCUAGCAGAAGAGGAUCUUAGCCGGUCCACUAACAUGUGGAAGGCAUUUUAUUUGGUGGAAUGUCUUGGAGAGUUGUUGAUGGUUAUAAAAUGUUUAUUUGUUGAUGAUU